rnacentral:rRNA from 1 species
GAUGAACGCUGGCGGCGUGCCUAAUACAUGCAAGUCGAGCGAAUGGAUUAAGAGCUUGCUCUUAUGAAGUUAGCGGCGGACGGGUGAGUAACACGUGGGUAACCUGCCCAUAAGACUGGGUUAACUCCGGGAAACCGGGGCUAAUACCGGAUAACAUUUUGAACCGCAUGGUUCGAAAUUGAAAGGCGGCUUCGGCUGUCACUUAUGGAUGGACCCGCGUCGCAUUAGCUAGUUGGUGAGGUAACGGCUCACCAAGGCAACGAUGCGUAGCCGACCUGAGAGGGUGAUCGGGCACGCUGGGACUGAGACACGGCCCAGACUCCUACGUGAGGCAGCAGUAGGGAAUCUUCCGCAAUGGACGAAAGUCUGGCGGAGCAACGCCGCGUGAGUGAUGAAGGCUUUCGGGUCGUAAAACUCUGUUGUUAGGGAAGAACAAGUGCUAGUUGAAUAAGCUGGCACCUUGACGGUACCUAACCAGAAAGCUACGGCUAACUACGUGCCAGCCGCCGCGGUAA